CACGUAGGGCGCAAGCGUUGUCCGGAAUUAUUGGGCGUAAAGAGCUCGUAGGUGGUUUGUUACGUCUGCUGUGAAAACCUAGGGCUUAACCCUGGGCUUGCAGUGGAUACGGGCAGACUAGAGGUAGGUAGGGGAGAAUGGAAUUCCUGGUGUAGCGGUGAAAUGCGCAGAUAUCAGGAGGAACACCGGUGGCGAAGGCGAUCACCUGGGGUUGUUCUGACGCUGAGGAGCGAAAGCUAGGGGAGCAAACGGG
rnacentral:rRNA from 1 species